UACAUGUGGGGCAAGCGUUGUCCGGAGUUACUGGGCGUAAAGCGCUUGUAGGCGGUCCACCAAGUUUGGGGUGACAGUUGCCGACUUAAUCGGCAAAGUGCCUCAAAGACUGGCGGACUUGAGGGCCACAGAGGGACAUGGAACUCCAGGUGUAGUGGUGAAAUGCGUAGAUAUCUGGAAGAACACCAAAGGCGAAGGCAGUGUCCUGGGUGGUCGCUGACGCUGAGAGGCGUAAGCCAGGGGAGCGAACGGG
rnacentral:rRNA from 1 species